UACGGAGGGUGCAAACGUUGCUCGGAAUCAUUGGGCGUAAAGCGCACGUAGGCGGCUCGUUAAGUCGGAUGUGAAAGCCCUCGGCUCAACCGAGGAAGUGCAUACGAAACUGGCGAGCUUGAAUAUGGAAGAGGGUCGCGGAAUUCCCGGUGUAGAGGUGAAAUUCGUAGAUAUCGGAGGAACACCAGUGGCGAAGGCGGCGAUCUGGAAGAUACUGACGCUGAGGUGCGAAAGCGUGGGGAGCAAACAGG
rnacentral:rRNA from 1 species